UUGCUCUCUCUUGAGUCUUUUUCUCUUUGACACUUAUCUUAAAUAUCUUCCUUGUAGUAGUUCUUACUAUAUCAAGAGGUUCAUAUUGUCAACUUCAUUUCAAAUUUCAGUGCAAAAGCACAGUAAUUUUGCCAUUUCUUACCCUGUCUCAUUUCUGACCAGAAAGAAAAGAAAAGAAGGAAGCUUCAACGUCAGAGAGUGACACAAUAUAAUAAAGGGUUAUUUUUGUCAUUCCUCUCUUCUUUGCUAUUCUACUGCUCUAAUACAAUGGCCAUCAAGAAAGUUCUAAUCCUGGUCAUCUACAUUUUCAUUGUUCAAUCCUCUAGUUCAAGUGACCUCAACAAAAUCACUCUUCAAUUUCGCUUGUAUUAAUUGUGGUAAAAAUCAUUGCUUAAUACAUGCUUACUUACAGGUCGUAUAUAUCAAACAAACAUGGCAGGAAGCGGGUCCAUAGCAACAAACAAAGAGGUUGCAAGAUUCGAACGAAGCUGCUUCUGUUGGCAUAGUAGAAGACUCGGCAAGAGAAGUCCCUACGGGACCUGACCCCCUUCAUCACAUCAACCACCCUAUAGGCCAUUGAAUUUCCUUCCUUAAAAAACUCUGCUAUAUAUACUUUAGUAGAUUUUAGUGUAGUAGGUUCGUGCUUUAACAAAGGACCCUCCUCAUUAAUUCCACUAUUUUGUUUAUUUUUCUACAUCAUGUAUUUAGUGCUUACGGUUUUGUAAUUCACGGUCCAUAUCUUCUGCUAUGUGCUUACUUUUGUACAUAAUCAGAACCGAUUAUACUUGGGAUCAUUAUAUUUGUUUUUAAUAUUGUUUGCAAUUCAUUUU